rnacentral:rRNA from 1 species
CUGAUCAGCCAUGCCGCGUGUGUGAAGAAGGUCUUCGGAUUGUAAAGCACUUUAAGUUGGGAGGAAGGGCAGUAAAUUAAUACUUUGCUGUUUUGACGUUACCGACAGAAUAAGCACCGGCUAACUCUGUGCCAGCAGCCGCGGUAAU